GACGUAGGAGGCGAGCGUUGUCCGGAGUGACUGGGCGUAUAGCGCGCGCAGGCGGUCGUGUGCGCCCGGGGUGAAAGGCGUCGGCUCAACCGGCGAGCGGCCUCGGGGACGGGACGACUGGAGGGCGGGAGAGGUCGGUGGAAUUCCCGGUGUAGUGGUGAAAUGCGUAGAGCUCGGGAGGAACACCCGCGGCGAAGGCGGCCGACUGGACCGACCCUGACGCUGAGGCGCGAAGGCGCGGGGAGCGAACGGG
rnacentral:rRNA from 1 species